rnacentral:rRNA from 1 species
AUGUUGGUCUUUCUUUGUGAGACUAGGUAGGAAGCUACGAAGAUGAGGAGAAUUCGAGGCCGUAUUGGUUUGAAAGGCUUCGAGGGAGUAGAUAGCAAUGGUAUGAGUGGUGGAUUAGCACUGUUUUGGCAUGAGUCGUGUGUGGUUGAAAUUUUGGGUAAGGAGGAAAGAUAUACCGAUGCUUUGGUCAGAUUGAAUGUUGAUGCAGAACAAUGGAGAGUCACCUUUGUUUAUGGAGAGCCACGUGUUGAGAACCGUCAUCUCAUGUGGUCGAAGCUACAGAGUUUAAAGAACGUGAGCGACCGGCCAUGGCUUGUUAUAGGAGAUUUCAACGAAGCCCUUUGGGACUUCGAGCACCUCUCGGCUUCCCCAAGGCCGGAACAGCAGAUGAUCGCGUUCAGAGAUACGCUUGAAGUCUGCGGUCUGGUUGACUUAGGCUUUUCUGGAAUCCCGUUCACAUAUGAUAAUUUGAGGGCUGGUGUGUCCAAUGUUAAAGUACGCUUGGACAGGGCAACGGCGACAAACGACGUAAUAUGUUUCCGGUCUAUUCGGUCCAGCAUGUUGUAUCUCCGUAUUCUGAUCACGUGGCAUUGGUGA